GGGGUCCGUGGCUCAGUGGUAAAGCAUCUGCUUAGCAUGUGGAAGGUCCCACGUUCAACCCUGUGCAGCUCCA
rnacentral:tRNA from 1 species